CCGAAGCGGGAUAUGUGCUGUCCGAAAGACUCACACAAAAGUAUGUUUAUUUGUCAAGCUGAUAUUGGCGUAUUCUCGUUUGUAUUUUGCUCGUUGUUACUGAGCAUGGCAGAUACAAUCCAACAACUGCCAUUCAAUCAACGCGAUCUGAGAGGAAGGGAGGAGGAAAACGGUGGUGGCAGGAGCUGACUAAGAAAGAUCACAGGGUCAUCACCACGGUGGUCACUGAGGGGAAGGUGUUCUACGACGCGGAGGACUAUCCCCAGCAGUACCUGAAGACGGUCGCUAGGGGGUACUGUGGUCUCAUUGGGACCGGGAACAUGCCUACUCGGACUGGAUAAGGAGGAGUUGUGAGGGCAUCGGCCGUGAGGACCGAGAGAGAGGGUGCAAUAGAGAGAGAGAGAUGGUAAUUAACAUAUCUGCAUUGCAAUCCAAAAAGGCUAUAAUGUAUUAAGUAACGUUUCAUUCAAAUUGUAAUUGUGCUUGGGCUCCACUAGGGGGCAAUGUAACCUAAAUGACGUAACCCAUUUAUCCCAAUAAAAGUUUUUUUUUUUAAUUUCACCUGCCACAACUUUAUUAAUGUUUAAAAGAACAUUUCAUAGACAUUUGUAAAAUAUAUGUACAUUAUUAACUUUGAUAGAGAUUGACUUAUAUUCAGAACUAUGUUUUGUAGCCGCACAUAUAGCUACUCUAUGUGCGUGUGAAGGGCCUUCACUUCAGGGGGGAUCCAUGUGGGCGACCAUUUACCAUGUUACUGAAUGAAAAGACUAUGACGCACACGCACCCAUACACACACAAUCUCCGACAAUCUCAUCUACAUCAUACAACAAAUCAUUGGGAAUAACCUAUUACAACCUCAAAGGCCUCGCGAGUGCAAUUC
ensembl:lncRNA